CCCGCCCCCUGCUCCCGGGAUGAAAACAAUGACCUCGGGAGGCCAACUUUAUCCGGCGGGGAUCGAGCAAGCGCGACACCUUCUUCCCCUCUCCUCUGCUCUCUACCUUUUUCCGAAGCAGGGCAAUGUCACCCAGUUUCCUAAUGACUGACAGCUCCUGAACAAACGUUUCGCUGAAAUUUUGAAUUUUCUACGACAAUCUUCGGCCAAAGAAAACAUAUCAGGCAAAGAAAUAACGAAAGCAAUCAGGUUACCGAUUCCGGAGGCGCCGCCGGUGACGAGAGCGGACAUGCCGGGCUUGAGCUCCAUCUUACAGACAGACCAAGCUACGGUUCGAAAGAUUUAUUGGACGCAGAGGGUUGCGACCUGGUGAUGAUAUAUUAAUAGAAGACACACAAAGAGAGGCACCCAGUCAAAUGCAGUACCAUGGCCGCCUUCGAUCCGGAGAAAUCAUGUCCUAAACGGCAUGGCAUCACCGGCAAUCACAGCCGUUUAUCUUUAAAGCUGUGCAUCGAAAUGUCCGUUUGAUGAAUAGAGCCUAUAAUCAGCUGGCGUACACGUAUACGCGGUGCACGCAGUGUCGGGUAUAAUUUUUUUAUCCGUUUAGU
rnacentral:lncRNA from 1 species